rnacentral:lncRNA from 1 species
GCCAAAGGGGCAAUGGCCUAGGGCCCCCAAAUUUUAGGGGCCCCAAAAAAUGUAAAGCCCAAUAUUAUUAUUGACCCAAUUAAAAAAAAUUAUGUUUCCUACUUUUCCUAAGCCCAAAAUAAACGUCACUAAUCUCUCUCUCUUAAUUCUUUUUUCUUUUCCCAAUUCCCAGCAAGUUAAUGUCUCUGAUCUCUCUCUCUCUCUUAAUUCCUUUUUCUCUUCCAAUUCCUAAUUCUUUUUUCUUUCCCAAUUCCCAGCAAGUUAAUGUCCCUGAUCUCUCUCUCUCUCUUAAUUCUUUUUUCUCUUCCAAUUCCCAACAAACUAACGUCUCUCUCUCAUUUCUUUUUUUCCCCAAUGUCUCUCUCUCUCUGAAUUGAUAGAAGACUG